AGAUCGGCAGGGACUUUUGGUGCAAAGGUCCUUUGUCAAAGGUCGAAGGAGAGCGGCGUCAGACCUUGAACGAUCA
rnacentral:sRNA from 19 species